rnacentral:rRNA from 1 species
AGAGUUUGAUCAUGGCUCAGAACGAACGCUGGCGGCGUGCCUAACACAUGCAAGUCGAACGAGAAAGGGGUAGCAAUACCCCCAGUAAAGUGGCGAACGGGUGAGUAACACGUGGGUAACCUGCCCUCGAGCUCGGAAUAACCCGCCGAAAGGUGGGCUAAUACCGGAUAACGAUUCGGGUCCUUAGGGACCUGAAUCCAAAGAUGGCCAAUGCUUGCAAGCUAUCACUUGAGGAGGGGCCCGCGGCCCAUUAGCUAGUUGGCGGGGUAAUGGCCCACCAAGGCGACGAUGGGUAGCCGGCCUGAGAGGGCGAUCGGCCACAUUGGAACUGAGACACGGUCCAGACUCCUACGGGAGGCAGCAGUGAGGAAUCUUGCGCAAUGGGCGAAAGCCUGACGCAGCAACGCCGCGUGGGUGAUGAAGGCCUUCGGGUCGUAAAACCCUGUCAGGUGGGAAGAAUCGGGCGGGGGCUAAUAUCCCUCGCCCCUGACUGUACCACCAGAGGAAGCCCCGGCUAACUCCGUGCCAGCAGCCGCGGUAAUACGGAGGGGGCCAGCGUUGUUCGGAAUCAUUGGGCGUAAAGGGCGCGUAGGCGGCUGGGUAAGUCUGACGUGAAAUCCCUUGGCUCAACCAAGGAAUUGCGUCUUAAACUGCUCAGCUUGAGUCCGGGAGAGGGUAGUGGAAUUCCCAGUGUAGCGGUGAAAUGCGUAGAUAUUGGGAGGAACACCGGUGGCGAAGGCGGCUACCUGGACCGGUACUGACGCUGAGGCGCGAAAGCUAGGGGAGCAAACAGGAUUAGAUACCCUAGUAGUCC